UAUCGAACCUGCCCCCUUCAGGAAUAGCCCAGAGAAAUUUGGAUUAAUGCCCCAUGGUACCACGGAGUCGCAUGACUAUGUGGUUAAAGAUUUAUCGGAAGGGGAUGGCGAUGCGUAUCAUUAGCUUGUUGGUAAGGUAACGGCUUACCAAGGCAACGAUGAUUAGGGGCCCUGAGAGGGGGAUCCCCCACACUGGUACUGAGACACGGACCAGACUCCUACGGGAGGCAGCAGUGAGGAAUAUUGGACAAUGGCCGGAAGUUGAUCCAGCCAUGCCGCGUGCGGAUGACGGCCCUAUGGGUUGUAAACCGCUUUUGUACGGGAAGAAACCCCGCCACGUGUGGGCUGACGGUACCGUAAGAAUAAGGACCGGCUAACUCCGUGCCAGCAGCCGCGGUAAUACGGAGGGUCCGAGCGUUAUCCGGAAUC
rnacentral:rRNA from 1 species